rnacentral:rRNA from 1 species
UUCGGGGGAGUGGCAAACGGGUGAGUAACACGUUGAUAACCUACCUCAAAGUCGGGAACAGCUCGCUGAAAAGCGGGGUAAUACUCGAUUGUCCUACAUCACUUCGGUGUUUGUAGGUAAAGCUCCGGCGCUUUGAGAGGGGUCUGCGUCCUAUCAGCUAGUUGGUGAGGUAAAAGCUCACCAAGGCUAAGACGGGUAGCUGGUGUGAGAGCAUGACCAGCCACAAUGGAACUGAGAACGGUCCAUACUCC